rnacentral:rRNA from 1 species
AUAUCAAUAAGCGGAGGAAAAGAAACCAACAGGGAUUGCCCUAGUAACGGCGAGUGAAGCGGCAACAGCUCAAAUUUGAAAUCUGGCUCCUUUGGUGCCCGAGUUGUAAUUUGUAGAGGAUGCUUCGAGUUUGGCCUUGGCCUAAGUUCCUUGGAACAGGACGUCAUAGAGGGUGAGAAUCCCGUAUGUGGCCGAAGGUUUACGCUCAGGUGAGGCUCCUUCGACGAGUCGAGUUGUUUGGGAAUGCAGCUCAAAAUGGGUGGUAAAUUUCAUCUAAAGCUAAAUACCGGCGGGAGACCGAUAGCGCACAAGUAGAGUGAUCGAAAGAUGAAAAGCACUUUGGAAAGAGAGUUAAAAAGUACGUGAAAUUGUUGAAAGGGAAGCGCUUGCAACCAGACUUGCCCACGGUGGAUCAACCGGUGUUCUCAGCGGUGCACUCCGCCAUGGUCAGGCCAGCAUCGGUUUAGGCGGUUGGAGAAAGGCCGUGGGAAUGUGACUUCCUUCGGGAAGUGUUAUAGCCCACGGCGUCAUGCAGCCAGCCUGGACCGAGGACCGCGCUUCGGCUAGGAUGCUGGCGUAAUGGUUGUAAGCGA